rnacentral:rRNA from 1 species
GAGUUUGAUCGUGGCUCAGAUUGAACGCUGGCGGCAUGCCUUACACAUGCAAGUCGAACGGCAGCACGGGAGCUUGCUCCUGGUGGCGAGUGGCGAACGGGUGAGUAAUGCAUCGGAACGUAUCCUGGAGUGGGGGAUAACGUAGCGAAAGUUACGCUAAUACCGCAUAUUCUGUGAGCAGGAAAGCGGGGGACCUUCGGGCCUCGCGCUCUUGGAGCGGCCGAUGUCGGAUUAGCUAGUUGGUGAGGUAAAGGCUCACCAAGACGACGAUCUGUAGCAGGUCUGAGAGGAUGAUCUGCCACACUGGAACUGAGACACGGUCCAGACUCCUACGGGAGGCAGCAGUGGGGAAUUUUGGACAAUGGGGGCAACCCUGAUCCAGCCAUGCCGCGUGAGUGAAGAAGGCC